GUUUUCUUUUAGUCUCUGAAGCGACCGGUGCUGCACAGCCAAACGGGGAAGCGUAUUCUCUCCUUGCAACGUACAGAACUUCAGAAGAAGCAGAUGAAUUCAGCGACUCAGCGGCCUCAGACUCUGAACAACAAUACACAAAUGAAUACAUCUUAUCCAGUGCAGUCGACGAGAGAGCAGAGACGUCUGACCAAUGAGGAGACUCAAUCUGUCACAUCAUGGACAUGGAUUGGACGUUACAUCCAAGGACUUCCUGUUGUUCCCCAUGAUUUCAUUGUGCUGACAUUAGUUGCUCUGUCUUGUGUUCUCACUGCAAAAAUAAAGUUGUUUAUUCUAAA